UACGGAGGGUGCAAGCGUUGUUCGGAAUUACUGGGCGUAAAGGGUUCGUAGGUGGCCAGCUAAGUCAGACGUGAAAUCCCUCAGCUUAACUGAGGAACUGCGUCUGAUACUGGUUGGCUUGAGUGCAGGAGAGGAACGCGGAAUUCCAGGUGUAGCGGUGAAAUGCGUAGAUAUCUGGAGGAACACCGGUGGCGAAGGCGGCGUUCUGGACUGCAACUGACACUGAGGAACGAAAGCCAGGGGAGCAAACGGG
rnacentral:rRNA from 1 species